CCUGCCUCCUCGGAGCCCUGGCCCGCCUCCAGGCCGCUCUGCCAGCGCCAGCGCUGCUCACAGACAAGCAUCGCUCCGCUCCCCACCUCUCCCCGCCCCUGCUGCGGCUGGGCUGCGGCCGCCUCGCCUCGGCAGGAAGCGCCCAGCCUGAUUUCCUACAAGUGUUUGUCAGAAGGAGGGGGUUUGUCUGCGUGCAGAGUGAGAGUGAGCAGAAGGAGCUUAACCCCUUGCUGGCCCUCUGUGGGUCUGCGCCGCUCAGGAAAGGACUUCUGGAAACCUCCAGUGUCAGAGCUUGGAGCCAUCUCAGCAACUGUGGACAAUAAAGCCCAAAGUAGGUGAGAGGCUUGGCCAAGUUCACACAGCAUGCUGAGCCUGGAAGGAAGCCUCCAGCAGCCUCAGGCCUCUGAGAGCUUUCUCCUAGCGCCUUCCCUCCAGGGCAUAACCUUGUUCUAGUCUCCCUCUCUCACUAGGGCACAGUGCCCAACUGUACAGUGGGAGCUCAGAUUGGAUGCUUGCUUGGCACACUGCCGGCUCUGACUCUCUGCCCUGUCUGCCAAUAUGCGACCCAACACCUCAGGGAGGCUGCAUCGAUUCCUGCCAUCCCACACACUGUCCUCACCCCAAGCUGGGACUGUAAUUACAGUGGGAUUUUCCAGGCAGCACAGAGGUGGGGAAUUGGCUGAUCAUGUGAAUUUCCCCUGUUAUUCCAAGGGCUCAUCAGAUGGCAAGCUGCCUUUUCCCAAGCCCCUCUCAUUCCAUUCAUUCAUCUGACAGAGACUUACUGAGCUCCUAUAGUGUGCUGGGUGCUUUUCCAGAUGCUGAGAAUAUGGCAGGACACAAGACAGGCCAAGCUCUGGCUCCAAGACACAGACAACAAAUAAACAUGGAGAGAGAUGUGACCAAGGCGGAGAUGAGGGUUAAGAAGAAUAACCACCCCACAGGGCUGCUGCCAAGAUCCCCUUGCAAAGUGCAGAGCCAGGGGCCUGGAGCAUGAAAGAAUGAAUGAAUGAAUCCUCCCAAGGGGUGUGGGGGUGAGGAGGCAGGAGGGGACCCAGAAGAACCGAUGGAAGCCUGGCUUGGGAAGUGGAGACCCAAGUUCCAGCCUGAGUGACAUCAGUCAGGCAAGUGCUUUUCCCUCUCUUAGCUUCGGAGCCUCAGGGCUUAAUGAGAUUAUCUCUGAGGUUAUCAGAAAUGACCUUCUAGCACUAAAUCUCCUGGGUUCUUUGAUUCCACUUGCCCACACAGGCAGCAACACCGUGCCGAUGGGAGGCUGCAGGGAGCAGGCAUUUAGGGCACAAGGGCUUUGUUAAUAGAAAGACCUCAGGUUCUCUCUUGAAAGCUGUGUGGCCUUGGGCAAGUCUCUUAACUUCUCUGAACCCCAGAUUUCUUAUCGGUAAAAUAGGGGUAAUACUGACUUUACAGGAUCCUUGGUUACUGAGACUAUAUACCUCAAGUCCUGGCCAGUGCCCAGCUGGCACAGAGUUCAUGAGCACAUGACUUUGGCCAUAUCCAUGAAAUGUUCAUAUGGCCUGCUCCUUGCAAAACUGAGUGUAAUUUUCCUGGCUCUGGAACUUCCCUAAUAUCAGCCACAGCUCAAGCUUUGAGUCCUUUACACAAGUGGAGAGAAAGGCUGCUCUCUCCCUGUGACCCUUUUCCCUGAGGUCCCCAGAUCAACGCUGGGGGUCACUGACCCAGCUAGAAACUGUGUCCCUACCCUGACUCAUUAAGGAGGGGAGGAAACAGGCCUUCCUUAGCCAACUGAAACAUGGGUUAUGAGGAGGGUGUGGCCAUAGUGAGGAACACACACACCCACACCCUCAAAUUUAUGUUCCUUGGAAAGAAUCAAACAACAGCAACAAAAUGUGCAUAUGCUGGGGAUGCAUGGCUAACAGCAAAACUUUAUUGCACACAUAUUCUGUAAAGGCCUUUCCAUGGAUUAGGAUCUCAUUAUUUAAUCUUCAUGCCAAUCUAAGGAGGUGGGGAUUAUUAUGCCCAUUUCACAGGAGAGCAUGCUGGGUUUGAAUCAAGCCGUCUGAAUCCAGACACUACAAUCUUAGUCACUUUGCGACUGAACCUUAACAGUAGGUGAAAAGGUUGGAAACAACCUCAGUGUCCAACAACAGGGGAUCAUUAACAUAAAUUAUGAUACUUCCACUCAAAGGAAUAUAAUGCAGCUAUUAACAGUUGAAUUGUAGAAGAAUAUGAAGUGAUGGGAAAGAACUGUGAUAUGUUACGUGAACAAGUCAGUUAUAAACUAAUAUAUAUCUAGUUUGAGUCCAUUACAGAAAAAUACAGUAAAAUACAGAGGAAGGGAAGGGAAGGAGGGAGGGAGGAAGGGAGGGAAAAAGAGAGGUACUCCAAAAUGUUCACAAUUAUUCCUAUUAGGUUAACAAACUAAGGCAAGUUUACUCUUUUUCCUUAUGUGUACUUUCUAAAAAUAACAGUUGCUUUAAAAAUAAGAGUAAAAUGGGGUGGGGGUAUAGCUCAAGUGGUAGAGCGCAUGCUUAGUAUGCACUGGGUCCAGGGUUCAAUCCCCAGUGCCUCCUCUAAAAAAAUAAAUAAAUAAACCUAAUUACCUCCCACCCACUCCCCCAAAAUAAGAGUAAAACAAACAUUAAAAAACAAAGCCAAACAAACAAAAGCCACCACCGUACACUGUAUAGAGCUCCAUUCUGGUGAGAGCGCGGACACGGCCCUCCUCAGUUUCUCCAACUAUGAAAGCUGGGAAGAGUGGUUGGGCCCUUUGAGGGUCUUUGCAGCUCUGACAUUCUGUGACAUUCAGGACCCCCAUCCCACACUUUCUCUCUUCCUCUUUUUAGACUCUGACACCAUGUGCUUUUUCACAAGGAACAUACAGCCAUUACACAACAUGUAGGAUUAUGUGCAGAUCACAAAAAGGAAAGCAAGCAAUCCCAGCCUUAGCCACUCACAACGUCUUGGGACACAGCAUGUGUUGUCUGAUUGGAGCCUCAUAAUCAGGCAUUUAACAGAUAAGGGAAGGCCCAGAGAGGUUACACAACUUGCCCAAAGUCACCCAGCACAUCAGGGGCAGAGUUGGAUAUGCACCCACAAGUAAAACAUUACCCUCUAAAUGAAUCCUUGACUUUGGGGGAGCUGAAUGCCCCGCUGGACCUCUAGGUCCCUCCCAGUCCUUGAUCCUUGGCUGCAGUCUCAAGACUCCAAGAAGAUUCAUAGCUGGGCAUCCAAAUCUGGCUUUGAUCACUGGUCCCUCCCCUAUAGAUUAGGCCCAGCUCGGGGUGCAGGGUAAUGGGAAUGCUAGCAAGGAUCUUGGGGGCUGGCACAAGACUACCCCUCGGAGAGGGGAUCUCUCUCUGCAGCUGAGCUGGAGUUCAGCUGACACUUGGGAAGGAUGAUCAGAGCCAAGAUGGGAUGGAAGGCUGGAAUGGAGGAGGGACUGAGAAAUUUAAAAUGUGAAGGUUUGGGGGCAGAGAUGCCUGGGUCUAAAUCUGGUAGUUCUGAACUUAGAUAUGUUUCCAAACCUCCCUGAUAUCCUCAUCUACAGACUGAGGGUAACCCAGUCCUCAGGGACAUGGCUGUAAGGUAAUAAGACAAUUUGCUGGGCUUAGCUCACAGGAGGUGCUCAGAAAACCAGGGGUGCUGUUAGCUUCCUCCUGGUCCCCUGGUCAACUAGUGCCUCUUCCCAGAGCCCCCACCCCAACUCACUCUCCAAUCUCUUCAGCACAUGCUGCUGGAUAAAUCUUCUUAGAGCAUCAUUCUGGCCAAGCCUUUCCCUGCUUAAAGACCAUCAAUGGCUGCUGUCCCUUUCAGGUUAAAAGCCAGACAUUUUGGCCUGGAAUUCAGGCUCAGAAUGACCUGUUCCCAAGUCAGAGGGCAGCUACAUUGCAUCACUCACAUCACAGACUAGGAGCCUCAUCUUAUAAAAGCUUCCUUCCAAAAUCCCACACUUUACGGGAGCUGUAGUGGGGCAUAAGUCUUCUGGCCUGGCUUUCCUGGGGUUUCCUACAUCACCAGGAACCCUCCAACUUCUGACUACCAUGGAAAGCAAGGCUUGUCUUCUAGCAUCGAACAGCCUUCACAUGCAGCUCUCAUGAAAGGAAGAAAGAAAGAAAGGAAGAAAGGAAGAAAGGAAGAAAGGAAGAAAAGAAAGAAAGAAAGAAAGAAAGAAAGAAAGAAAGAAAGAAAGAAAGAAAGAAAGAAAGAAAGAAAGAAAGAAAGA